rnacentral:lncRNA from 1 species
UUGCAUGCUUUCCUUGCUGUGGUGUCUGUUCUUGUUGCAGGUGGUGGGCACGGUGGAGCAGGUGGGAGUGUCAGACGCGUGGGCGUCGUGGUGGCCAAGGCUGAGGCGUGCGAGCGUGAGGGGGACAGAAGAGGCUGAGCGGCGCGCCCUAGGCAUGCUGCGCCUAGGGUUUUCUGCUGCAAACAUUUGUUUUUUUUUAUUUGGGCUAGGGUUUCUGCUGUUGGGCUAGGUAGUGGGUUGGUUUGUUAUUUUGUAAUUGGACUGUUGUUUAUUGUUUUAAUAUUCGGGCCUGGGCAUAAAAUU